rnacentral:rRNA from 1 species
AGGGCACCACCAGGAGUGGAGCCUGCGGCUUAAUUUGACUCAACACGGGAAAACUCACCCGGCCCGGACACUGGAAGGAUUGACAGAUUGAGAGCUCUUUCUUGAUUCAGUGGGUGGUGGUGCAUGGCCGUUCUUAGUUGGUGGAGUGAUUUGUCUGGUUAAUUCCGAUAACGAACGAGACUCUAGCCUAUUAAAUAGAUCGUUGGCUUACAAACGCCGGCGAGACUUCUUAGAGGGACAGGCGGCGAUUCAGCCGCACGAAACAGAGCAAUAACAGGUCUGUGAUGCCCUUAGAUGUCCGGGGCCGCACGCGCGCUACACUGAAGUGAUCAGCGUGCAUUUUGAAACCUACUCUGUCAAGAGUGGGGAACCCAAUGAACCUUCUUCGUGGUUGGGAUAGGGGAUUGUAAUUAUUCCCCUUGAACGAGGAAUUCCCAGUAAGCGCGAAUCAUAAGUUUGCGCUGAUUACGUCCCUGCCCUUUGUACACACCGCCCGUCGCUACUACCGAUUGAAUGUUU